UGAGUUUGAUCCUGGCUCAGGAUGAACGCUAGCGGCAGGCCUAAUACAUGCAAGUCGAACGGUAAGAUCUCGCUUGCGAGAUACACGAGUGGCGCACGGGUGCGUAACGCGUAUGCAACCUACCUCUAACUGGAGAAUAGCCCCGAGAAAUCGGGAUUAAUACUCCAUAAUAUCCAAUUUUCGCAUGAUUUUUGGAUUAAAGUCCCGACGGUUAGAGAUGGGCAUGCGUGACAUUAGUUUGUUGGUGAGGUAACGGCUCACCAAGACUACGAUGUCUAGGGGUUCUGAGAGGAUUAUCCCCCACACUGGUACUGAGACACGGACCAGACUCCUACGGGAGGCAGCAGUAAGGAAUAUUGGUCAAUGGACGAAAGUCUGAACCAGCCAUGCCGCGUGCAGGAUGACAGCCCUACGGGUUGUAAACUGCUUUAAUACGGGAAGAACCCUCUGUACGUGUACAGGGUUGACAGUACCGAAUGAAUAAGCAUCGGCUAAAUCCGUGCCAGCAGCCGCGGUACAUACGGAGGAUGCAAGCGUUAACCGGA
rnacentral:rRNA from 1 species